rnacentral:rRNA from 1 species
UACGUAGGGCGCGAGCGUUGUCCGGAAUCAUUGGGCGUAAAGAGCUCGUAGGCGGCCUGUCGCGUCUGCUGUGAAAUCUCUCGGCUCAACCGGGAGAGGUUGUCCGAUACUGCUGGACUGGAGGGCAGUAGAGGGUGGUGGAAUUCCGGGUGUAGUGGUGAAAUGCGUAGAUAUCGGGAGGAACACCUGUGGCGAAAGCGGCGCACUGGACCACAACUGACGCUGAGGCGCGAAAGCUAGGGGAGCAAACAGG